rnacentral:rRNA from 1 species
UGAGGAACAUGACCUUCGGCGGGGGAUAGCCGGCCCAACGGCCGGGUAAUACCGCGUACGACCACUUUGGGACAUCCCUCGGUGGUGAAAGCAGCAAUGCGCCGAUGGAGUGCCUCGCGGCCUAUCAGCUAGUUGGGUGGGGUAACGGCUCACCAAGGCAACGACGGGUAGCUGGUCUGAGAGGAUGGCCAGCCACAGUUGGGACUGAGACACGGCCCAGACCUCCGUACGGGAGGNAG